CCAGGCGAAACAAAUAGUUCGGCAGAGAAUUAAGUUUAGAGAAGCCAGACAAACUUUACACAAUUUGUGUUAGAACAUUAAAGGCUUUGAGAAGCCUUUCAGUAAAGAAACCCGUUUAAUUUGUUUAGCCCGAUGUAUUCCCAAUUUGCUUGUAUUUUGUUUGUCUGUUUUCUAGCACAUUCAUAGCACCUUGUUGAACACAAGUGUUGACAGCUACAUAUGCACUGAGCCUGGGGGCCUGGGGGCUGGGGUUAGACAGGCCUGCUCGCCACCUGCCACUCAGCAGGUGUGUGAUCUUGAGCAGGUCCCUCAGCCGGUGGGAUUCUCAGCUUCCGAUUUGUAAGAUGCACUUACAGCUGACUGCGCUGCAUUGUAAGGGAUGAAUAACACAACAUGGACUCACCCGCCUGGCCCCUGUGGGUGCCUGGACCUAGUCCACCCCGACCCUUGCCCUGGCACUCCCGUGUGCUGGCAGACACGCCCAGUGCUCCUGGCUCGGGUAGGUAACGGCAGCUACAAGGAAACAAAGAACGUACCUGGUCAGUGGCUGCCACCCCCACGCUCCUAUGCAGGAGCCCUGAUGUUCUUCUGUUUCCGUGGAUUGGAAGAAGUCAGUUUGAGAGAGCACGCUUCUGCUUCCGGCAGUUUUAUUUUCUUUUAUAUCAAACAUCUUGUAUCAUCUACUCAUUUCCAGCUGGAGAUCUGGGAACCUUGCCAUCCUUGAAUGUGCGUGCUGAGUUUUGUUUUGGUUUGGUUUCUUACCGAGCACCAGCUUCCUCUGCUGCCUGAACAGCUGUGUUUGGUUUUUGGCAAGCGUCUCCUGGAGCUUAGAACUGCCUCCCCGGGAAAACUCAAGUUUCUUGAAUGACAAAAAUCUUGGAAAAUUUGCUUCUUGCCGCUGAGAAGUAAUCUGUAACCAUAUAUCCUUGAUGCUAAUAAAUACAAGAAAAUCCUA